rnacentral:snoRNA from 1 species
UUUCUCCAGAUUCUUUACCCAUCAAACCUAAACACUGGUCUGAGUGAUUAUAAAAGGAGAAAAAGUAAAAUUGAAAUUGAUUAUUUGUGACACACAAGCUAGUUUCAAACAAAC